GACGAACGCUGGCGGCGUGCUUAACACAUGCAAGUCGAACGGGGCACCCUUGAAAGAGAUUUCGGUCAAUGGAUAGGAAUGCUUAGUGGCGGACGGGUGAGUAACGCGUGAGUAACCUGCCUUUCAGAGGGGGACAACAGUUGGAAACGACUGCUAAUACCGCAUAACAUAUAGGUGCCGCAUGGCACUUAUAUCAAAGAUUUAUCGCUGAGAGAUGGACUCGCGUCUGAUUAGCUAGUUGGUGGGGUAACGGCCCACCAAGGCGACGAUCAGUAGCCGGACUGAGAGGUUGGCCGGCCACAUUGGGACUGAGAUACGGCCCAG
rnacentral:rRNA from 1 species